rnacentral:rRNA from 1 species
UUGUUGGAGAGUUUGAUCCUGGCUCAGGACGAACGCUGGCGGCGUGCUUAACACAUGCAAGUCGAACGCUGAACCGGUUUCGGCCGGGGAUGAGUGGCGAACGGGUGAGUAACACGUGGGUAAUCUGCCCUGCACUCUGGGAUAAGCCUUGGAAACGAGGUCUAAUACCGGAUAUCACUUU